AGUGGCAGACGGGUGAGUAACACGUGGGAACCUUCCCUAUAGUACGGAAUAGCCCAGGGAAACUUGGAGUAAUACCGUAUACGCCCGAAAGGGGAAAGAAUUUCGCUAUAGGAUGGGCCCGCGUAGGAUUAGCUAGUUGGUGAGGUAAUGGCUCACCAAGGCGACGAUCCUUAGCUGGUUUGAGAGAACGACCAGCCACACUGGGACUGAGACACGGCCCAGACUCCUACGGGAGGCAGCAGUGGGGAAUAUUGGACAAUGGGCGCAAGCCUGAUCCAGCCAUGCCGCGUGAGUGAUGAAGGCCUUAGGGUUGUAAAGCUCUUUUGGCGGGGACGAUAAUGACGGUACCCGCAGAAUAAGUCCCGGCUAACUUCGUGCCAGCAGCCGCGGUAAUACGAAGGGGACUAGCGUUGUUCGGAAUCACUGGGCGUAAAGCGCACGUAGGCGGAUAUGUCAGUCAGGGGUGAAAUCCCGGGGCUCAACCUCGGAACUGCCCUUGAUACAGCAUGUCUUGAGUCCGAUAGAGGUGGGUGGAAUUCCUAGUGUAGAGGUGAAAUUCGUAGAUAUUAGGAAGAACACCGGUGGCGAAGGCGGCCCACUGGAUCGGUACUGACGCUGAGGUGCGAAAGCGUGGGGGAGCAAACAGGAUUAGAUACCCUUGGUAGUCCACGCCCGUAAAC
rnacentral:rRNA from 1 species